AUUUUUUUUACCAAUUGAACAGCAUGUUCUAAUUAGGUGUUUUCAAAACCUAUAGAAAUAUUGACGGAAAUAGGGGAUGAGUAGUGGGAAUAAAUGAAAAAGGAAUGAUCGAUUUUUAUAAAACGAAUGUGUGAUAUAUUGUAUAUAUUUCAGCCGAUUUUUCAAGUAAAGACGAGGCUUUAUUUGGUCCAGUAUCCUUAUCAAAAUAAUCAAAAUGAGAAGAUAAUUACCUUACAGCUUUAUUUCCCGGCGAUGCUGAAAUGUUUAAUGAAAUAAAACCAGAUAAACGUCUUUGACCCACUUUAUCUUUCUAUUCGGAUACUUGCAGAUAUCUUCUCGAA
rnacentral:lncRNA from 1 species